AUUGAACGCUGGCGGCAUGCCUUACACAUGCAAGUCGAACGGUAACAGGUUAAGCUGCCGAGUGGCGAACGGGUGAGUAAUGUAUCGGAACGUGCCCAGUCGUGGGGGAUAACUGCUCGAAAGAGCAGCUAAUACCGCAUACGACCUGAGGGUGAAAGCGGGGGAUCGCAAGACCUCGCGCGAUUGGAGCGGCCGAUAUCAGAUUAGGUAGUUGGUGAGGUAAAGGCUCACCAAGCCGACGAUCUGUAGCUGGUCUGAGAGGACGACCAGCCACACUGGGACUGAGACACGGCCCAGACUCCUACGGGAGGCAGCAGUGGGGAAUUUUGGACAAUGGGCGCAAGCCUGAUCCAGCCAUGCCGCGUGCGGGAAGAAGGCCUUCGGGUUGUAAACCGCUUUUGUCAGGGAAGAAAAGGUUCUGGCUAAUACCUGGGACUCAUGACGGUACCUUAAGAAUAAGCACCGGCUAACUACGUG
rnacentral:rRNA from 1 species